ensembl:lncRNA
CGGGCCGGGCGGCUGGGACCCCGGGCUCUUGCCCGCAGGAUCCGCCAGGUUCCAGCAUGGUGGUGUCGCCGGCCCCGUCCACGCCCGGCCUGCGGGGUCGACGGCAACAACAGCUCCCCCUGUCGUGACCCGCGCCCCGCCCCGCCCCUUCACCCGGGACGGCGCGGGACGCCAGGCUGACCCGAACUCGAGGGAACAGAGACUGAGGCCGAGGGAACAGAGACUGAGGCCUAGGGAAGCGGAGUGGACUGCGGGUCACCCAGGGGAGCGGUCAGACCCAGGACGAGCACUAGCCCUACCUUCCGUCUCGCGUGGAAAUGAGCCAUCUGAUGGCAUCAAAAGCAAAAACCAGAAACUGAGCCAAACCGAGCUCCACCACGCCCACCGUCCUCCCAGGCCCCAGCAGAGGGGUGGCCCUGACUCCCGGCCCAGCCAGGCCACCAGGGUCUCACCUGUCGGAAGCUCCUGGAGCAGGUGAAAGCUCCACGAUUCAGCUUGAUUUUCCUGGGCUUUAUCCACAUGUCCUCAGUGCCUAUCGAACAUGUCAUCCAGCUGGCGUGAACUUGGAUCACGACACGAGUGGCUCCGUAGGACGCGGAGGCAGGUGAGAUUCUGACCGAGGAGUUGUCACGCGCUCGUGCCGGGGAGCGUGCUGUGUGCUGGAGAGAGGAGAACAGACACAGGCGGGGCCGUGUGCGGGACCCCACCAAAGGCAGACACCGUGCUGGGCUUCUUGGCCCAGGCCCUUCUUACCUUCUUAGACUGAUAUCUCAGGAUGUUAGAGAAUUCCAGACCCCUGCUACUGUAGGUGUGUGUGUCUGUGCAUGAGUG